AUCCCUGAGAAGAAUCAUUUAGGGUCCAGGGGAGAAGAUUGAAGAGAUUCAAGUCCCUCUCUCCCUCCACCCCCUCAUCAGAGGAGGUCCUGGUGAACUUUGAAGGAGUCUCCUUUCUAGUCCAAGUCAUCUUCCCCUUACUCAGGGGAGGAGACAGUAUGGAAAGUGUUGGAAUCAAAAAACCUCAAAAAUGUGCAUGAAAAGC
rnacentral:lncRNA from 1 species